CAGCCGUUGCCCAGCCAGGUGUUGCCAUUGGCCACGGAGAGAACGACAGAUUACAAGAGAAGAAUAGAAGGAUACCAAGAGAGCGAUUCAAAGCAGAGUUCGACCAACGCUGGAGGAACCGGGCUUCGUACGGUUCCGAUCAUUGGAGGGUUUAACCUAGCCUUCUAUGACACUCGCGGUAGCGAGCUCUACAUCAACCUCUUCUCGGGUCGCCAGAACUUCAUGCAUUGACUCCAUUUUGUUUGGUUGAAAGAUGUUUUCGUGGGUAAUUUAUUGCGGAAUAACGAUCAAUAAGUGAGGCCUUUUGAUGAGUGUACGUGAAAGGGAUAAAAGAUUGGUAAAGAAGUCGGACCGAUGGAUCCACGAAAUUUGUUUGAUAUUCGUUUUGGGGUAGCAGACAGGUCGAUUGGUAUACGGGGUGGGUAGGAACAGCCAUAAUUGGUGUGUGGGGUAUUGAUUUGGAGAGGUACAGACAGAGAUAUCAAUGGAUUCUGGUUGUUGAUAAUUUAAAUGGUGGACAGUAGUGUGGUGAAUGGCGGGUCCUAUUUUGUUGAUGGUGUGAUUUGGUGAUGAAAUUCCAUGGAGGCAUUUACUCACUGGCAAACAUAAAUGGUUUGGGUGGCUUGCUUGUUUCAUGCAGCCAUUUAAGGAAGCUGUGAAAAUGGAUUUAUCUAAUAUCCCAAAAGGUGCAGUAAGUACGACUGCAAAACCCUGUUGACAAAACUACCUAGCUGUUGAAAGAACAAUUAUGUGGAAAUAUGGUAAAGUAAUUCAAGACUUGGUACUAAGGCUUGAGAAAUGUAGAGACUGGUGAAGCUUGAACUGCAGCUGAUUUGGGUCCACAUCCAAUGCUCCAGUUUUUGGCCAGGACUUCACGGUGGAGGCUUAGGAGUUUCGGGUCGGGUUUGGAUCAAACCGAUACUCACCCGAUUUGAC